rnacentral:sRNA from 1 species
ACGGCGAGUGAAGCGGCAACAGCUCAAAUUUGAAAGCUGGCCCCCCCGGGGGUCCGCGUUGUAAUUUGUAGAGGAUGAUUCGGCGAGGGCUCCCGCCUAAGUCCCCUGGAACGGGGCGUCAUAGAGGGUGAGAAUCCCGUAUGCGGUGGGCUGCCUUAGCCAUGUGAAUCUCCUUCGACGAGUCGAGUUGUUUGGGAAUGCAGCUCUAAAUGGGAGGUAAAUUUCUUCUAAAGCUAAAUACCGGCCAGAGACCGAUAGCGCACAAGUAGAGUGAUCGAAAGAUGAAAAGCACUUUGGAAAGAGAGUUAAAAAGUACGUGAAAUUGUUGAAAGGGAAGCGCUUGCAGCCAGACUUGUCCGCAGUUGCUCAGCCGGUCUCCUGACCGGCGCACUCUUCUGCGGCCAGGCCAGCAUCAGUUCGGGCGGUCGGAUAAAGGCCCCGGGAACGUAGCUCCUCUCGGGGAGUGUUAUAGCCCGGGGUGGAAUGCGGCCAGCCUGGACUGAGGAUCUCGCUUCGGCUAGGAUGCUGGCGUAAUGGCUGUAAGCGGCCCGUCUUGAAACACGGACCAAGGAGUCUAACAUCUAUGCGAGUGUUUGGGUGUCAAACCCAUGCGCGUAAUGAAAGUGAACGGAGGUGGGAACCCUCGCGGGUGCACCAUCGACCGAUCCUGAUGUCUUCGGAUGGAUUUGAGUAAGAGCAUAGCUGUUGGGACCCGAAAGAUGGUGAACUAUGCCUGAAUAGGGUGAAGCCAGAGGAAACUCUGGUGGAGGCUCGCAGCGGUUCUGACGUGCAAAUCGAUCGUCAAAUUUGGGUAUAGGGGCGAAAGACUAAUCGAACCAUCGACUACUAGGUGGUUAAGAGGUGGCUGAAAGUGCCCACCUAGUCCCCCCGUCCGAGGACGGGGGGGCGACAUCGCCAAAUUGCGGGGACUCCCUUAGAGCCUCUACUACCGCGGCCGGCCGAAAGGCGCGGUGCAGCACCGGGUUAAUUGCCUAGGGUACGGUAAAAAGGUAGAGGAUUGGGAAAUCCGCAGCCAAGCGCCUAAGUCCCGCGGGAUACGGCGAAGGUUCAGAGACUAGAUGGCGGUGGG